AUACGGAGGGUGCAAGCGUUAAUCGGAAUUACUGGGCGUAAAGCGCGCGUAGGCGGUUUGAUCAGUCGGAUGUGAAAGCCCUGGGCUCAACCUGGGAACUGCAUUCGAUACUGUCAGACUAGAAUAUGGUAGAGGGUAGUGGAAUUCCUGGUGUAGCGGUGAAGUGCGUAGAUAUCAGGAGGAACAUCAGUGGCUAAGGCGGCUACCUGGACCAAUAUUGACGCUGAGGUGCGAAAGCGUGGGGAGCAAACAGGAUUAGAAACCCUAGUAGUCC
rnacentral:rRNA from 1 species